rnacentral:misc_RNA from 1 species
AAAAGUUUUUUAUUUUUCAAGUUUUAAAAUUUUUAAUAUAUAUGUGUAUAUAUACACACACUCUUUGAUGAAUGACAUUUGUGAUAGUCAUGUAUGUCAUAUGGCCGCUUUUAAAUUUAAUUAGUCUAAAAUUAUAUUGUGUAGAGUUUAAUUAAAAUAUAAGAGACUUGGCUAGAGAAUAGAGGGUUAGAAAUAGCAGGGUGGAUGAUGGGUAAUGGAGAAUUUAGAGUCAUCUUCUACUCGUAGCAGUGGAGUGAAGUGGAAAGUCAUGUUUGGGAUUACUUGUUGGAUGCUUUGGAAAAGAAAGAAUAAGGUUGUGUUUGAGGGAGAUGCUUAUGGGGUUGAGGGGUUGGUGCAAUGUCUAUUUCCUUUGAUAAGUCAGCUGCUAUAACCAUUUGUCAUGGGACGGGAGUUCUAACCCUGUGCGGCACCUAGGUCCUUCUUGGCCAGGGCUCCUAGGCCAACCUUUCCCCUAUCUAGCUAGCUCGCUCAAGCCUAAAUAUUAAGCAUCUUUGAGGUUUCUUGCACAUACCUGCACAGAUUCACAAUUAUUAGCUCCAUAGAGUAAGAGUUAACUUGUGACGAUCUUACCAAUUACCAAUUACCAAUUACCAAUAAUUGGAAGCUUAAGUUUUUCUAGAUCCGCCAAUAAGUUUAAGGCUUCUUACGGAGCAUGAUUGUGUUGGAGUUUCUUAUUGAGGAUAGUCUAUGCUUAGUUUGUUUUUUAUUCUUUCAUAAAUAUACAUGUCUUUAUAUAAAUGUAAUUUAGAUAUAUUAAUUUAAUUAAUAAAAUUUUGAAGUCGGAUAAAAAUACUCACAUGGUAUUGAACUAAAUAUAUUUUCUUAUUUUGCAUAUUUUUACAUUAUUUUCAAUCAAUGACAAUUUUACUCUGAUAUGUUGUCUGUAAUACAUAUAUAUAUAUAUAUAGAAUUUAUUAUUGUUAUUAUUAUUACAGAAGCAUUAG